rnacentral:rRNA from 1 species
AGCGUAGACGGUGUGGCAAGUCUGAUGUGAAAGGCAUGGGCUCAACCUGUGGACUGCAUUGGAAACUGUCAUACUUGAGUGCCGGAGGGGUAAGCGGAAUUCCUAGUGUAGCGGUGAAAUGCGUAGAUAUUAGGAGAAACACCAGUGGCGAAGGCGGCUUACUGGACGGUAACUGACGUUGAGGCUCGAAAGCGUGGGAGCAAACA